GACGAACGCUGGCGGCGUGCCUAAUACAUGCAAGUAGAACGCUGAAGGAGGAGCUUGCUUCUCUGGAUGAGUUGCGAACGGGUGAAUAACGCGUAGGUAACCUGCCUGGUAGCGGGGGAUAACUAUUGGAAACGAUAGCUAAUACCGCAUAAUAGCAGUUAUUGCAUGAUAACUGUUUGAAAGGUGCAAUUGCACCACUACCAGAUGGACCUGCGUUGUAUUAGCUAGUUGGUGGGGUAACGGCUCACCAAGGCGACGAUACAUAGCCGACCUGAGAGGGUGAUCGGCCACACUGGGACUGAGACACGGCCCAGACUCCUACGGGAGGCAGCAGUAGGGAAUCUUCGGCAAUGGACGGAAGUCUGACCGAGCAACGCCGCGUGAGUGAAGAAGGUUUUCGGAUCGUAAAGCUCUGUUGUAAGAGAAGAACGAGUGUGAGAGUGGAAAGUUCACACUGUGACGGUAUCUUACCAGAAAGGGACGGCUAACUACGUG
rnacentral:rRNA from 1 species